rnacentral:rRNA from 1 species
AUUGAACGCUGGCGGCAUGCUUUACACAUGCAAGUCGAACGGUAACAGGUUAAGCUGACGAGUGGCGAACGGGUGAGUAAUGCAUCGGAACGUGCCCGGUCGUGGGGGAUAACGCAGCGAAAGCUGCGCUAAUACCGCAUACGAUCUGAGGAUGAAAGCGGGGGACCGUAAGGCCUCGCGCGAUCGGAGCGGCCGAUGUCAGCUUAGGUAGUUGGUGGGGUAAAGGCUCAUCAAGCCGACGAUCUGUAGCUGGUCUGAGAGGACGACCAGCCACACGGGGCCUGAGAAACGGCCCAGACUCCUACGGGGGGCAGAAGUGGGGAAUUUUGGACAAUGGGCGCAAGCCUGAUCCAGCAAUGCGGCGUGCAGGAAGAAGGCCUUCGGGUUGUAAACUGCUUUUGUACGGAGCGAAAAGGCUCUCUCUAAUAUAGGGGGCUCAUGACGGUACCGUAAGAAUAAGCACCGGCUAACUACGUGCCAGCCGCCGCGGUAAAAC